GGUUGAAUUUAGGCUUCAGUUGUGUUUAGGUUGAGCUUCGGUUGAGUUUAGGUUGAGCUUCGGUUGAGCUUCGGUUGAGUUUAGGCUUCAGUUGUGUUUAGGUUGAGCUUCGGUUGAGUUUAGGUUGAGCUUCGGUUGAGUUUAGGCUUCAGUUGUGUUUAGGUUGAGCUUCGGUUGAGUUUAGGUUGAGCUUCGGUUGAGUUUAGGCUUCAGUUGUGUUUAGGUUGAGCUUCGGUUGAGUUUAGGUUGAGCUUCGGUUGAGUUUAGGUUGAGCUUCGGUUGAAUUUAGGUUGAGCUUCG